UCCCUGGUAGUCCAGUGGUUAGGACUCAGCGCUUUCACCGCUGUGGCCUGGGUUCAAUCCCUGUUUGGGGAA